CAUGAGUUUUGGAAAAUUUUAUCAAAGGUAAGUAAAUUAAUUAAAAUCAAUAAUUUUAUUAGUUUCGAUAAUUAGAUUUGGUUAAAAGGAAAAAUUAGCUCUAAAUUCUUUAUAAUUUAUCCUGGAUUUUUUAAUUAAAUUAGAAGAUAUAAUUUAUUUAAUAAUUAAAUGUUAUUGAGAUUUAGAGUAAUCUCUAGUUAAUUUUGUGCCAGCAACAGCGGUUAUACAAAAAGAGAAUUUUUUUAUUAAUAAUUUAAUUUAUUUAUUAAAACUUUUAAAUUAAAAAUAAGGUGAAAUUUUUUUUUAAUUAUUGUUUUUAAUUUUAAAAAAAUGAAAAUUCUAUAAUAAACUAGGAUUAGAUACCCUAUUAUUAAGAAAAAUUAUAUUGUUAGUAUAUAAAUUGUAUGAAAACAAAAAAUUAUGGCGGUAUUUUAAGCUUUUCAGAGGAAUUUGCUCUUUAAUGGAUAAAACACCUAAAUCUUACUAAAUUUAGUUAAGCAGUUUGUAUACCACUAUUUAAGUAAUAAUUUGCUAUUAUUACUAAAAUUUAUAUUAAUUAAAAAAAGUUAAGUCAAGGUGCAGCAUAAAUUUUAGUAUGAAGUGAAUUACAUUUCUUUUAAGAAAAAUUUGUUGAAAAUAAAAUUUAGGAUUUGAAAGUAAAAUUUUAAUAGAAGGAAAAUUUGAAUUAAGCUCUAAAAUAUGUACAUAUCGCCCGUCGCUCUUUCUUAAAGAUAAGUCGUAACAAAGUUAAAGUACUGGAAAGUGCUUU
rnacentral:rRNA from 1 species